rnacentral:RNase_P_RNA from 3 species
GCAGUCGGCCGGUCUGUCGCUGAUGCCUUUACGGCAGAAGAGGAAAGUCCGGGCAACGCAGAGCAUCCUACUUCCUAACAGAAAGCUGUCCGCGAGGGCGGAGUAAUGCAGAAGAAAACAACCGCCUCCUAACCGGGAGGUAAGGGUGAGAAGGCGGGGUAAGAGCCCACCAGCCGCACAGCGAUGUGCGGGCUGUGCAUCUUAGGAGUUGUAAGGUCAUGUAAACCGGCAUCAACGAGGGUUGCUCGCCCCACGUCGGAGGGUAGACCGCUGGAGCCUGCCGGUGACGGCAGGCGUAGAUAAAUGACAGACGCCCCUGCUUGCAGGGUGACAGAACCCGGCUUACAGGCCGUCUGCUUCU